GAAAUGCGAUAAGUAAUGUGAAUUGCAGAAUUCAGUGAAUCAUCGAAUCUUUGAACGCACAUUGCGCCUGCCAGUAUUCUGGCGGGCAUGCCUGUUCGAGCGUCAUUUCAACCAUCAAGCCCCCGGCUUGUGUUGGGGACCUGCGGCUGCCCGCAGGCCCUGAAAAACAGUGGCGGGCUCGCUGUCACACCGAGCGUAGUAGCAUACAUUCUCGCUCAGGGCGUGCUGCGGGUUCCGGCCGUUAAACGACCUUCAUAACCCAAGGCUGACCUCGGAUCAGGUAGGAAGACCCGCUGAACUUAAGC
rnacentral:misc_RNA from 1 species